UGGGGAAUCUUAGACAAUGGGCGAAAGCCUGAUCUAGCGAUGCCGCGUGUGUGACGAAGGCCUUAGGGUCGUAAAGCACUUUCGCCAGGGAUGAUAAUGACAGUACCUGGUAAAGAAACCCCGGCUAACUCCGUGCCAGCAGCCGCGGUAAUACGGAGGGGGUUAGCGUUGUUCGGAAUUACUGGGCGUAAAGCGCACGUAGGCGGACUAUUAAGUCAGGGGUGAAAUCCAGGGGCUCAACCCCGGAACUGCCUUUGAUACUGGUAGUCUUGAGUUCGAGAGAGGUGAGUGGAAUUCCGAGUGUAGAGGUGAAAUUCGUAGAUAUUCGGAGGAAAAACAGUGGCGAAGGCGGCGCACUGGCUCGAUACUGACGCUGAGGUGCGAAAGCGUGGGGAGCAAACCGGACUAGAUACCCCCGUAGUCC
rnacentral:rRNA from 1 species